CUGGCGGCGUGCUUAACACAUGCAAGUCGAGCGAUGAAGCUUCUUCGGAAGUGGAUUAGCGGCGGACGGGUGAGUAACACGUGGGUAACCUGCCUCAUAGAGGGGAAUAGCCUUCCGAAAGGAAGAUUAAUACCGCAUAAGAUUGUAAUAUCGCAUGAUAUAGCAAUUAAAGGAGUAAUCCGCUAUGAGAUGGACCCGCGUCGCAUUAGCUAGUUGGUGAGGUAACGGCUCACCAAGGCGACGAUGCGUAGCCGACCUGAGAGGGUGAUCGGCCACAUUGGGACUGAGACACGGCCCAGACUCCUACGGGAGGCAGCAGUGGGGAAUAUUGCACAAUGGGGGAAACCCUGAUGCAAGCAACGCCGCGUGAGUGAUGACGGUCUUCGGAUUGUAAAGCUCUGUCUUCAGGGACGAUAAUGACGGUACCUGAGGAGGAAGCCACGGCUAACUACGUGCCAGCCGCCGC
rnacentral:rRNA from 1 species